AAUUCGCUAGGUUGAUGUUAGAGAGCUGACAGGCUUUACUCUCUCACAUCAGACACGUUUGGGGGUAAUUAUGUGCCAAAGAAUGAAUUAACAUAACAACGUUUGUUUGUAUUGUGUGUGGUUUUCAUGCUGUUACAUGAUCAUAUGUUGUCACCGCGGUACUGACACUAAUUUUAACUAGCUAUACCUCAGCAUCACUUGUUGCUAAGAGACUGAUGCUACGACGUGUUGAAAUGACGUAAUAUAAUGAAUGAACAUGAUUGUAUUUUAUAUUUAUGUGUACAGUUUUAAUGUUGUGAUGUUAACUCAUCUUUACACCAUGGAUCUGACUUGUAAUGUGUUGAUAACUCGUCAGAAUCGCUGGCUUGGUAAGAGACUACAGCUAUUGGCUUAAUACAUUGCACUAACUAACAGCUUGACUACUAAGGGAUUGAUACAUCUCUCUUUUUUCUUUUUACCAAAGUAAUAUUACAGUGCACAAGAAGAGAGUGGAUGGCCACUGAAUUGUUUCAGGCCCAGGGCUGACCGGGGCAGCACAGUGGAACUACCAACGGCUGGUGGACCUUAAGCAGCCAGGUGUCAUCCUCCCUGCUGUGUUUGAUCCAGUUGUAAUGGCUGAGUUGAAGUCUGCCUCCAAGAAUCCGUUGGCCAGCCGCUCUCUGCUGGUCCACUGCUAAAGCAUGAGAUGUCGCCAGACGACCACCUGGAACCUCCAGCAGCAAUUGCCUAACCAGAUGUGAAGAGUUUAGCAGUGCACAAGAAAAAAGUGAAGAGAAGACGGACAAAGACCUGUCUUGGCUGUGGACAGCCCAAGUCUCAAUAGUGCGUCAUUUAGUCAUUGUGAAAAGUUAUAUUUGAAUGCUGGCCUUAAAUGUUCCAUAUCAUUUCUGAAAUGCUUAUCUUUAUGAUUACAAUCCACACUUUUACAUUUGUAUGUUACACUUGUCAUUGUUAAUAGCUGUUUGUUUGUCAUUUUCCUUUGUCAUUGUAAGCAGUUAUAUGUAAUUGUUGGCCUUAAAUUAUCCAUAUUAUUUCUCAAACAUGUAUCUUUAAUUACAGUCCACGCUAUUCCAUUUGUGUAAAUACUGAGACAAGUAUAAAUUAUUUCAGAUGUUGUCAAUAAAACUAUGAUGACUAAUAAAAAUGGAACUUAUUUUGAAAUAUUA